rnacentral:rRNA from 1 species
UACGUAGGUGGCAAGCGUUGUCCGGAAUUAUUGGGCGUAAAGCGCGCGCAGGCGGCCUUUUAAGUCUGAUGUGAAAUCUUGCGGCUCAACCGCAAGCGGCCAUUGGAAACUACUAGGCUUGAAUACUGGAGAGGGUCGCGGAAUUCCCAGUGUAGAGGUGAAAUUCGUAGAUAUCGGGAGGAACACCAGUGGCGAAGGCGGCGACCUGGACAGAUAUUGACGCUGAGGUGCGAAAGCGUGGGGAGCAAACAGG